AUUGAACGCUGGCGGCAUGCCUUACACAUGCAAGUCGAACGGCAGCACGGGUGCUUGCACCUGGUGGCGAGUGGCGAACGGGUGAGUAAUACAUCGGAACGUACCUUAUCGUGGGGGAUAACGCAGCGAAAGUUGCGCUAAUACCGCAUCCGCCCUGAGGGGGAAGGCGGGGGACCGUAAGGCCUCGCGCGCGUAGCGCGGCGGAUGUCUGAUUAGCUUGUUGGUGAGGUAAAAGCUCACCAAGGCGAUGAUCAGUAGCUGGUCGGAGAGGACGAUCAGCCACACUGGGACUGAGACACGGCCCAGACUCCUACGGGAGGCAACAGUGGGGAAUUUUGGACAAUGGGGGCAACCCUGAUCCAGCAAUGCCGCGUGAGUGAAGAAGGCCUUCGGGUUGUAAAGCUCUUUUGUCAGGGAAGAAACAGCAGCUCUAACACAGUCUGCGAAUGACGGUACCUGAAGAAUAAGCACCGGCUAACUACGUGCCAGCAGCCGCCGCGG
rnacentral:rRNA from 1 species